UUUGUAUCGUCAGUAGACUUUGCAUGGCUAUUUCGACUCAGAUAUCACAUUCAAAAUACGUAAUAUACUGUACGUUGACACAGAGCGCUGACAUCCAUGCACUCUGGCUAUUACAGUACCUUACAGUCAUGUGAAGCAAUCCUUGAGUAUCUAAGUCUUUGUCUAACUCAGUCAUUAAUAACAAGCCCUGUGACAGACUUUCCAGGGUGUGUACCAGUGCAUAAAGCUGCUUCACGCUAGAGAAACAGGAAAUAGGCUCCUGACCUGACUUUUCUGGCUCCGAAAAAGCUUACUUUACUUCAACGCACCUUGGCAUGGAUUCUACAAGUGUCUGGAACUCUAAGAGUUUCAUAUACGGUGCAUUCGGAAGGUAUUCAGACCCCUUGACUUUUUCCACAUUUUGGUACGUUUACAGCCGUACAUUUUUUUAUUGAUUACCGUAAUUUCCGGACUAUAAGCCGCUACUUUAUUCCCACACUUUGAACCUCGCGGUUUAUACAAUGACGCGGCUAAUUUAUUGAUUUUCCCCGCUUUCACAAGAUUCAUGCCGCCAAAAAACUGAGCACCGUCACAUAAUGUGACGUAAAUCGAGCGCGCUCAAACUUCCCAUCAUUCUAAUUACGGUAGUAAUUUUGUCAUCCUCAUCAUGGCAAAGACACGGAGAAAUGCAUAUGAUGCAGCUUUCAAGUUGAAGGCAAUAAAUCUGGCUGUUGGAAAAGGAAAUAGAGCUGCUGCAUGGGAGCUUGGCCUUAAUGAGUCGAUGAUAAGACGUUGGAAACAGCAGCGUGAGGAACUGACUCAGUGCAGAAAGACAACAAAAGCUUUCAGAGGGAAGAAAAGCAGAUGGCCCAAAGUAUUUGCAGCCACUCGACAUAAGUGUAAAUCGUGCAUUUAAGGUGGCGCUCCUUGUUCAGUGGGAGGCUUGGAUGACAAGUGGGGAGAAAUCCUUCACUAAAACGGGCCGCAGGCGAAGAGCAUCUUAUGGUCAAGUUUGCCAGUGGGUCCUGACAGCGUGGAGCAUUGUCAAAGAAUCCACUAUCAUCAACGGGAUUAUUUGAAAGGCUGGACUGCUGCGUGUUGAAGGGGCAGCAUGAGCUCAGCGGGGUAUUUGCCUCCGGAUGAAAGUGACGAGAGCGACAAUGAAAACGAUCUAACAUCGGAUGAAGCAAUUCUGAGGCUAUUCAACUCCGACACCGAAGGAGAUGACUUCAGUGGUUUCAGUGCACAGGAGGAGGAAGAUAGUGACCAAUGACUUUCUUGGUAGGCUACUGUUUUAAUUUUUGUUACAAGCCGUGUUUCGUUAAAGCCUAUUUAUUUUUGUUACAAGCCGUGUUUCGUUUAAAGGCUGUGUAAAGUUCAUUUGUUUCAAUGUAUCGGUAGGCACCUGCGGCUUAUAGACAUGUGCGGCUUAUUUAUGUACAAAAUACAUAUUUUUUAAUAAUUCAGUGGGUGCAGUUUAUAUUCAGGUGCGCUUAAUAGUCCAGCAAUUACGGUACAUUUAAUUGUUUCCUGAUCAAUAUACACACACAAUACUCCAUAAUGACAGAGGGUAAACUGUUUUUAUUUUUACAUUUGUACAAAAAAACAAACAGAAAUACCUUAUUUACAUAAAUAUUCAGGCCCUUUGCUAUGAUACUCGAAAUUGAGCUUAGGUGCAUCCUGUUUCCAUUGAUCUUCCUAGAGAUGUUUCUACAACUUGAUUGGAGUCCAUCUGUGGUAAAUUACAUUGAUUGGACAUGAUUUGGAAAGGCACACACCUGAAUAAGCUCCAUCAGUUGUCAGUGUAUGUCAGAGCAAAAACCAAGCCAUGAGGUUGAAGGAAUUGUCCGUGGAGAACAGAGACUGGGGAAAGGUGCCAAAAGGGUACCGAAAAAUGUCUGCUGCAUUGAAGGUCCCCAAGAACACAGUGGCUUCCAUCAUUCUUCAAUGGAGGAUACUUGGAACCACCAAGACUCUUUAUAGAGCUGGCCGCUUGGCCAAACUGAGCAAUUGAGGGAGAAGGGCCUUUGUCAGGGAGGUGAUCAAUAACUCUAUGAGCUCCAGAGUUCCUCUGUGGAGAUGGGAGAACCUUCCAGAAGGACAACCAUCUCUACAGAACUCCACCAAUCAGGCCUUUACGGUAGAGUGGCUAGAUGGAAGCCACUCCUCAGUAAAAGUCACAUGACAGCCUGCUUGGAGUUUGCCAAAAGGCACCCAAAGGACUCAGACCAUGAGAAACAAGAUUCUCUGGUCUGAUGAAACCAAGAUUGGCCUGAAUUCCAAGCCCUGUCACGGUGAUGUCACGGUGAUGCAUGGUGGUGGCAGCAUCAUGCUGUGGGAAUGUUUUUCAGCAGCAGGGACUGAGAGAUUAGUCAGGAUCGAGGGAAAGAUGAACGGAGCAAAGUACAGAGAGAUCCUUUAUGAAAACCUUCUCCAGAGCGCUUAGUACCUCAGACUGGGGCGAAGGUUCACCUUCCAACAGGACAACGACCCUGGGCAGACAGCCAAUACAAUGCAGGAGUGGUUUAGGGACAAGUCUCUGAAUAUCCUUAAGUGGCCCAGACAGAGCCCGGAUCCAGGUCUAGAUCCAGAUCUAGGAUCUAAUAGCUGUGCAGCGACGAUCAGCAGUGAAGAAUGGGAGAAACCCCCCAAAUACAGGUGUGCCAAGCUUGUAGCGUCAUACCCAAGAAGGCUCAAGGCAGGUUUUGCUGACAAAGGUGCUUCAACAAAGUACUGAGUAAAGGGUCUGAAUACUUAUCUAAAUGUAAUAUUUCAGUUUUUGUAAAAAAAAAUAAAAAUAAUAAUACAUUCGCAAAAAUGUCUUAAUUAAAACCUGUUGGGGAUAGUGAGACGCUAGCGUCCCAAGUGGCCAAUAGCCUCGGGAAAUGCAGUUUUUGCUUUGUCAUUGUGGGGUAUUGUGUGUAGAUUGAUGAAGAUCCCAUGUAGCUGACGACCCUCCCAACUCCGCCCACUGGCAUCCUAAUAAGGAAACAAGAACAAAGAGAGAAUACGGCAGACAGAGUGGGAGGGUUGUUACAUGAGUGCUGUUGCAAUUACAGCGAACUCAUCUAAGACGUAAGGGUGUCAUGUAGAAAUACCUCUAAACUCAUUAGAGCUCAGUCUGGACGAGACGCCACCCACAGCACCUGCUGCUGCAAUAUCCACAGGCUGCUCAUUAACAUCAAAUGUUAGGACUCACUCUCUCACGCUCUCGCUAGAUGAAUUGCAAAUGCUUACAUUGUCAAAGCAAAUUAAAUAGAUAAUAAACAAAAGUGAAAUAAAAAGGGCCUCUCGAGUGGCACAGUGGUAUAAGGCACUGCAUCAUAGUGCUAGCUGUGCCACUAGAGAUUCUGGGUUCGAGUCCAAGCUCUCUCGCGGCCGUGAGAACCAUGGGGUGGCGCACAAUUGGCCCAGCAUUGUUCGGGUCAGGGGAGGGUUUGGCCGGCAGGAAUGUCCUUGUCCCAUCUCAUACUAGCGACUCCUGUGGCUGGUCGGGGGUAGUGCAAGCUGAUACGGUCGCCAGGUGUACAGUGUAUCCUCCGACACGUUGGUGCGGCUUGGUUGGGUUAAGCGGGCAUUGUGUCAAGAAGCAGUGCGGCUUGGUUGGGUCUUGUUUCGGAGGACACACGGCUCUCGAUCUUCGCCUCUCACAAGUCCGUACAGGAGUUGCAGCGAUGGGACAAGAUUAACUACCAGUUGGAUACCACCAAUUGGGGAGAAAAAGGGGUACAUUUCAACUACAAUUUUUAAAAACAAAUAAAUGUGAAAUAAACAAUAAAAAAUUCACAGCAAACAUUAAUCUCACAAAAGUUCCAAAGGAAUAGAGACAUUUCAAAUGUCAUAUUAUGGCUAUAUACAGUGUUGUAUAGUUCAAGCAUAAAAGGGAAAAUAAAUAAAUAUUGGUUAUAGUUACAAUGGUGUUUGUUCUUCACUGGUUGCCUUUUCUUGUGGCACCAGGUCACAAUCUUGCUGCUGUAAUGUCACACUGUGGUAUUUCACCCAAUAGAUAUGUGUCUCUAAAUUGUCAUACAGUUGGCAGGAGGUUAGAAAGCGCAGCUCAGUUUCCACCUUAUUUUGUGGGCAGUUUGCACAUAACCUGUCUUCUCUUGAGAGCCAGGUCUGCCUACGGCGGCCUCUCUCAAUAGCAAGGCUAUGCUCACUGAGUCUGUACAUACUGUAGUCAAAGCUUUCCUUCAUUUUGGGUCAGUUACAGUGGUCAGGUAUUCUGCCAUUGUGUACUCUCUGUUUAUGGCCAAAUAGCAUUCUAGUUUGCUUAGAUCAACUAAUUAUCUUUUUUGUUUUCUCAUAAUUUGGUUAGGUCUUAUUGUGUUGCUGUCUUGAGGCGAUGUUUGUGUUUGUGAACAGAGCCCCAGGACCAGCUUGCUUAGGGGACUCUUCUCCAAGUUCAUCUCUCUGUAUGUGAUGGCUUUGUCUGAAAGGUUUGGGAAUCGCUUCUUUUUAGGUGGUUGUAGAAUUUAACGGCUCUUUUCUGGAUUUUGGAUAAUUUGUGGGUGUUGGCCUGAUUCUGCUCUGAAUGCAUGGUGUUUCAUGAGGAUAUUUUCAUGAGGAUAUACACAGAGGAUAUUUUUGUAGAAUUCUGCAUGCAGUCUCAAUUUGGUGUUUUUCCCAUUUUGUGAGUUAUUGGUUGGUGAGUGAACCCAAGACCUCACAACCAUAAAGGGCAAUGGGUUCUAAAACUGAUUCAAGUAUUUUUAGCCAGAUUCUAAUGGGUAUGUAGACUUUUAUGUUAAUUUAGUUGGCGUAGAAGCCCCUUCUUGCUUUGUCCCUUAGAUCUUUCACAGCUUUGUGGAAGUUACCUGUGGUGCUGAUAUUGAGGCCAAGGUACGUAUAGUUUUUUGUGUGCAACGGUGUCUAGAUGGAAUUUAUAUUUGUGGUACUGGCAACUGGAUCUUUUUUGGAACGCCAUUAUUUUUGUCUCACUGAGAUUUACUGUCACGGCCCAGGUCAGACAGAAUUUGUGCAGAAGAUCUAGGUGCUGCUGUAGACCCUCAUUGGUUGGGGACAUAAGCACCAGAUCAUCAACAAACAGCAGACAUUUGACUUAGGAUUCUAGUAGAGUGAGGCCAGGUGCUGCAGAUUGUUCUAGUGUCCUCACCAAUUCGUUGAUAUAUAUGUUGAAGAGGGUGGGGCUCAAGCUGAAUCCCUGUCUCACCCCACGGCCAUGUGAUAAUAAAUGUGUAUGUUUUUUUGCCAAUUUGAACCGUACACUUUUGUACAUGGAUUUCAUCAUGUAAUAUGUUUUUUCCCCCAACACUGCUUCCAUCAAUUUGUAUAACAGACACUCAUGCCAAAUUGUGAUAAAGGCUUUUUAAAAAAAUCAAUUAAAGUAUGAGAAGACUUUCCCUUUGUUUUGUUUUGUUUGUGUGUUAAUUAGUGUGUGCAGGGUGAAAACGUGGUCUGUCGUAUGGUAAUUUGGUUAAAAGCUAAUUUGACAUUUGCUCAGUACAUUGCCUUCACUGAGGAAAUGUAUGAGUCUGCUGUUAAUGGUAAUGCAGAGUAUUUUCCCAAGGUUGCUGUUGAUGCAUAUCCCACGGUAGUUAUUAGAGUCAAAUUUGUCUACACCUUUGUGGAUUGGGGUGAUUAGCCCUUGGUUCCACAUAUUGGGGAAGAUGCCAGAGCUGAGGAUGAUGUUAAAAAGUUUAAGUGUAGCCAAUUGGAAUUUGUGGUCUGUAAAUUGUAUAAUUUAAUUUAGGAUACCAUCAACAAAUCAAAUCAAAUGUAUUUAUAAAGCCCUUCUUACAUCAGCUGAUAUCAAGCAAUGCAGACGUAGAAGCACGGUGGCUAGGAAAAAACUCCCUAGAAAGGCCAGAACCUAGGAAGAAACCUAGAGAGGAACCAGGCUGUGAGGGGUGGCCAGUCCUCUUCUGGCUGUGCCGGGUGGAGAUUAUAAUAGAACAUGGCCAAGAUGUUCAAAUGUUCAAAGAUGACCAGCAGGGUCAAAUAAUAAUAAUCACAGUGGUUGUCAAGGGUGCAAUAGGUCAGCACCUCAGGAGUAAAUGUCAGUUGCCUUUUUAUAGCCAAUCAUUUAGAGUAUCUCGACCGCUCCUGAUGUCUCUAGAGAGUUGAAAACAGCAGGUCUGGGACAGGUAGCAGGUCUGGGACAUCAACACCACAGGCCUUUUUGGGUUGGAGGGUUUGUAUUUUGUCCUGUAGUUCAUUCAUUCAUUGUAAUUGGAGAAUCCAGUUGUUAAUAGUUGAUUUUAAGAUUUGUAUUUGAUCAUGUACAUCCCUCAAACUCAACUCUGGACCUCGAAGCCAGUUCCACUGAAUUAUUUUAUUGUUCCCCUGUAGUCAGAGCUGAGCAUGUUGAGCAUCUGAUACAUACCUCUCUCUCUCUGUCUCUCUCACCACAACAAGGAUGACUAGACACUAUACUGACAGAUUGAAGCCUGAGAGACAACCUCCCACAGGUCUGAUCUACGGCCAGCCUGAGGUGCCUUAAUGUGAACAAGAAACUCCAUAUAUUUCCAACACUACGUCAGCGUCCCAAAUGGCACCCUAUUCUCAUAGUGCACUAUUCCAUAUAGUGCAGUACUCAAAAGUAGUGCACUAUAUGGAAUAGGGUGCCAUUUGAGGCCUCAAUGUCAUUUGAUUAAGUCAGGGUUGGGCCUUUCCUCGAAGCUUUCCCCAAACAGACAGACAGCAGCCAGUUGUUGGUUCCUCUCAGGCAGGCAGGCUGAUUGAUUUGAUGAUAUUACUGGUGCUAAUGUGUGAUAGACUGUGUUAAUGCUUGGCUCUCUUUAGGGGGUUCCUAAGCUCUGUGUUGAUGAAUCUGUAAAUCUGUCUGCCUGUUUGGAAUGCAACACUUCACUGCACAUCUUACCACAGGGACCCCGAUGCAUAACCAACCUGUCACUCACUCCUCAACAACUCUGUGUGUGUGUGUGUGUGUGUGUGUGUGUGUGUGUGUGUGUGUGCGCAUGCGUGCUUACUCACACUUUCACAGAGACUGAUUGCACAUGUAGAGUGUGUGUUUUUUCCACAGGUUUGUUUGUGUGGAUGGUACUGUAUGUGUUGUGUGUCGCUGUGAGACCACGGUUCUUGGCAGUAUGUCGUUGAUGAAAUAAGUGUUGUGCAGGGUAGGGCAUAAAGAGCUACAGGUAACUGCCAAUAUAACGGAAACACUUGAGUAAAUGAGGGUUCUGGCAGAUCUGUUGUGUCCCCUUCGAGGGCAAGGUAAACACCAAUAAAUACACAGGCAUUCUGAGUGAUCACCUUCAUAUUGUGAAUCACUUCUAUCCUGAUGGGAGUGGUCUCUUCUAGGAGGGCAAUGCCUCCCAUCUGUCACCAGAUCUCAACCCAAUUGAACACUUAUGGGAGAUUCUGGAGUGGCACCUGAGACAGCGUUUUCCACCUCCGUCUACAAAACACCAAAUGAAGGAAUUUCUUGUGGAAGAAUGGUGUCACAUCCCUCCAAUAGAGUUCCAGACACUUGUAGAAUCCAUGCCAAGGUGCAUUGAAACUGUUCUGGUGGGUUGUGGUGGCCCAAUGCCCUAUUAAGACACUUUAUGUUGGUGUUUCCUGUAUUUUGGCAGUUACCUGUACAUUAGGGGAAAGGGACAGUGUGGGAGCAGGAUUUUCUGGGUCUCUGUACUGUCCUGAAGUAUUCUAACACAGAUGUGCUGUGGGGUGCUGUUUCAACACCUCUCUUUGUUUUCCAUUCGUCACCAGACUCUGAGGCUGUUACCCAGCUGGGCAUCUGGCAAUGUGAUUUGGUCAAGAGAGGCAAAUCACAUAUUGGCACUAACCUACAGGCCUCUGUUGUUCUUUUCUGUGUGUGUGUGUGUGUGUGUGUGUGUGUGUGUGUGUGUGUGUGUGUGUGUGUGUGUGUGUGUGUGUGUGUGUGUGUGUGUGUGUGUGUGUGUGUGUGUGUGUGGCGAACGCUCGUGCUUGUUCUUUUGCGUGAGUGUCCGUGCGUGCUUGUCCAGCUGCAGCAAUGGCGUGUCUAUCAGGAGGAGGUUGCCAGAUUGGAGGCAGCUGUUGUUGCCAGGCAGCAGGAGGAAGAGGACAGACUUGAGGAGGGAGCAGGAGACUUGGCCAUGAGGUCACCGCAGAAAGAAAAAGUCAAGACCCCUUACAUCCAACCCUCUCCAGCAUAUUGCAUUGUCACCAGUCAUACUAUGUUUGAACUUGUUCUGUGCUCCUCAGAUUCUUUGACGGUCUAUAAUAACAGCUUAGUAUCCAUUCAAUGUUAGUGUGGCCCAGGUUCAUUUGAAUGUUUUUAACGCCACGGAUUAUAAUGUUGUCAGGGGGAAACGACCUAUCUAUGUUUGUUAGGCGAGGGUCAUGAUGAUUUCCAUUAGCUUGAUUCUUUGAAUAUUCAGCUGAAGGAGGUAACAUGGUGUGUGUGAGAGUCAGCGUGUGUGUUUGUGCGUGCGUGUUGGAGUGUGUGUGGUCCCUAACACGCAUUGCCCCUGGCAUCCCCCCCAGGGUGUGUAGUCCUGUUUGAUUGCGCCCCUCUUGUGGGGCUUGCUACGGUAGCACGGAACAGCUGGGAGAAUCUCUGAUUAAUGAUGUCGUUUAGGCUGAAAUGGAUUACAUACACUUCUCCACCAUCAUCUUGCAGACAAUGAAAUAUUAUCUCAUUCAUUUGAUUUACUCUUAUCUGAUUUCGCAGUGUCACAAUCAAUAGUGUUUUCCUCGUGUUGACUCGCUGCGGGCAUUGUAAACUUUUGAGUCGCUUUGUGUUGGGAAUGUUUGUUUCUUUGCGUACCACAGGUUCACCCAAGAUACAGAGGAACAGAGGAAGAGAGAGGAGCUGGAGAGUAGAGGUCAGCAGAGACUGACAUAGCUGAGGAGACGCUUGGCAGAGCAAGCUGAGGGCGAUAAGGAAAGGGUUUAGUUGUGCGAGGAGGUGCCGCUGCAGCGCAAGGAGCAGAGGGAGGUGCGGGAGCUCGAACGCCUGGAAGAGAAGAGACAGUCGUCUGGGGGCCCUGAGAAAUUAGUGUCAAGGUGGGAGAAACGGCAGAGUCAGACCCAGAAAGGAUGAUGGGAGAUACGGAGGCUUUUAAACUCUCUAGGGUACGUGGGACGCUAACGUCCCACCUGACCAACAUCCAAUGAAAGUGCAGGGCGCCAAAUUCAAACAACAGAAAUCUCAUAAUUAAAAUUCCUCAAACAUGCAUGUAUUAUACAACAUUUUAAAGAUAAACUUGUUGUUAAUCCCACCACGGUGUCCGAUUUCAAAAAGGCUUUACGACAAAAGCAUACCAUGCGAUUAUGUUAGGUCUGCACCCAGACACAAAAAAAUACAUUUUCCAGCCAAAGAGAGGAGUCACAAAAAACAGAAAUAGAGAUCAAAUGAAUCACUAACCUUUGAUGAUCUUCAUCAGAUGGCACUCAUAGGACAUCAUGUUACACAAUACAUGUAUGUUUUGUUCAAUAAAGUUCAUAUUUAUAUCCAAAAAUCUCUGUUUACAUUGGCACAUUGUUAUGUUUUGCCUCCAAAACAUCCAGUGAAAGUGCAGAGAGCUACGUCAAUUUACAGAAAUACUCAUCAGAAAUGUUGAUGAAAAUACAACUGUUAUGCAUGGAAUGAAAGAUAUACUUCAAAUCAAAUUUAUUUAUAAAGCCCUUCGUACAUCAGCUGAUAUCUCAAAGUGCUGUACAGAAACCCAGCCUAAAACCCCAAACAGCAAGCAAUGCAGGUGUAGAAGCACGGUGGCUUAGGAAAAACUCCCUAGAAAGGCCAAAACCUAGGAAGAAACCUAGAGAGGAACCAGGCUAUGUGGGGUGGCCAGUCCUCUUCUGGCUGUGCCGGGUGGAGAUUAUAACAGAACAUGGCCAAGAUGUUCAAAUGUUCAUAAAUGACCAGCAUGGUCGAAUAAUAGUAAGGCAGAACAGUUGAAACUGGAGCAGCAGCAUGGCCAGGUGGACUGGGGACAGCAAGGAGUCAUCAUGUCAGGUAGCCCUGGGGCAUGGUCCUAGGGCUCAGGUCCUCCGAGAGAGAGAAAGAAAGAAGGAGGGAAUUAGAGAACACACACUUAGAUUCACACAGGACACCGAAUAGGACAGGAGAAGUACUCCAGAUAUAACAAACUGACCCUAGCCCCCCGACACAAACUACUGCAGCAUAAAUACUGGAGGCUGAGACAGGAGGGGUCAGGAGACACUGUGGCCCCAUCCGAGGACACCCCCGGACAGGGCCAAACAGGAAGGAUAUAACCCCACCCACUUUGCCAAAGCACAGCCCCCACACCACUAGAGGGAUAUCUUCAACCACCAACUUACUUCUCCUUAACAAACAAAAAAUACAUAGUUCUCAAUCCAUCUUUAGGUUUUUAUUAGCGAGCUGGACACAGUGAAGAAACUGUAUGAAUGUAGGUCCAUUAUCCUUCUACGUGAGGGUCGACGCUGGAGACAAGAAGCAGGUACAGGGACAGCGCAUUUAGUGAAACAGGACAGGACCAGCGUCUGGACAGGGGAAAAAUAACGGCAUCUAUGCUGACACAUGGAAUAACGUGAGGAGCAGACAGAUAAAGAGGGGGUAAUCAACAAGGUAAUGGAGUGCAGGUGAGUCCAAUAUUGCGCAGUGAAGCGUAAUGAUGGUGACAGGUGUGUGUAACCAAGGGCAGCCCCCCCCCCCUCUCUGGCAGUUAGAUGCGUGACAUUCGACACAGUUUCGAUUUGGUUGUAGUUUUUCUGAAUUAUAUAGUCCCCCUUUCCUGUGAUUGUUUUUAAUUAAAAUGGUCAAAAAUAUAUAUUUUAAAUUAAUUCUUAGCAAAGAGCAAUUUCUUAAGUUAGAAUUUUGCUAACUCUUUUUGUCACCAUGGAAGACCAAAACUCUCUCCCACUAAAACACGCUGAAAUUUCAGGCGGUCUUUUCAAACUGAUCUUACACUAAAAGGGCAUCAUCAUCAUUUACACAAUUCCACAGUAUUAUUCCAACCUCAGUGUGGAAAUAUACACUUAGUGUACAAAACAUUAGGAACACCCGCUGACCAGGUGAAUCCAGGUGAAAACUAUGAUCCCUUAUUGAUUACACCUGUUAAAUCCACUUUAAUCAGUGUAGAUGAAGGGGGGAAGAGCCUUGAGACAUGGAUUGUGGAUGUGUGCCAUUCAGAGGGUGAAUGGGCAAGGCAAAAGUGCCUUUGAACCGGGUAUGAUAUUAGAUGCCAGGCACACCGGUGUGAGUCUGUCAAGAACUGCAGUUCUGCUCGGUUUUUCAUGUUUAACAGUUUCCCAUGUGUAUCAAGAAUGGUCCACCCCCCAAAGGACAUCCAGCCAAGUUGACACUACUGUGGGAAGCAUUGGAGUCAACAUGGGUCAGCAUCAAUGAUGAAUUGAAGCUGUUCUGGGGGCAAAAAAGGGUGCAACUCAAUAUUUGGAAGGUGUUCCUAAUUUUUUGUACAUUCAGUUUAUAUAAAACACAGAAAAUCACAUUUUUGACUCCACCCGGCCUUUAAACAUUUUGGACUAUUACAUUUGUUUGCUCAAAACUCCCUCAGGCCGGAUCAGACCCUCCCAGUGGCCUGGAUGCGGGCCCAUAUCUUUGACACCGUUGCUUUAAGCGUUUGGUUUUCUCCACUAGUUCCAAAGUUUGUGUCAAUGUACUAUUUUGUGUUUACUGCUUUUCUGACUCACUCACUGACACGAAACCCAGAAAAUCAUUCACAAUGUUUGACCUGGCUCAACCAAACCUUACCCUCGUGCAGUCAGACGUUCAAGCGGCUUCCCAUCAAGGCCGGUGGGUGAAUCAACAUACAGUCCGUCUGUCUGGUACAUUGUGUCAUGACUCCACUGUGCAGGAGAGCACACUGGUCUACCUGCAGCCUAUUGUGUAAUCAGGCCAGUGACUGUCAGAUCAUCUCCUCCCAAUUGAAAUUUGUGAUCAACGAACAACUGACCUUGGUUUGAGGCAGGUGAGGAAAGACACGUUUGACUAGAAUACCAAAAUACCCGAAAGAAAAUCACGGACAAGGGUGUAACAGUAUCGUCCUCGUAUUUUUUUUGUUUGACGCUUUUUUUGACCGUAAAAUGUAAAAUCCCAAACGGCACCGGUAUUUCCAGUGUCCUGCACUUCUUUUGACCAAAGCCCUAUUACUUCUCUAUUCCCUCUGUUGCUUUCCAUAUUGGGUCGAAUCGAAGAGUAAGGAUUGAACAGGCCCUGCGGGUAGAAGGAAUCCACAACACACUGUAUGCCAAGGAGGUUCUCUCUGUAGUCCAGCCACCCAGACCACCUCGACAGGACACUGACUCCACGGGACUCAAGUCUUCCACAAAGAGUGUUUAGCCCUAAUUCAAUCAAAACCGCUAACCAGUUGUCCGGGAAUAAGUCAUAAUAUAAAUAGCCUUUUCCCAGGCCAGUGAGAGAGCAUAUUUGCAUAUGAUAUGAAGUUGAAUAGCUUUUUACGCAAUUUAGAAACCUGGUUGCAGGUACAGGUCAUAUAGAUAAGUGAUAUUUGUCCAGAGUUGUCAGUAUUUCUUCUUUGGGCUUUUUCUGUGAUUGUCAAUUCAGACUACGUUGGCUCAACUUUGAACAUAUUCCUUGCACUAUUCCUCAUAUGCCUCCCUCUGCUAUUCAUCAACAUCUGAUACUUCAUUGAACACAGAAUUUCUGUGUUUUAUGCCACUGUGACUUUAGAUAGAAUUUGCCUGUCAUCACGACAAACCUUUCAUGUAUGUUUAGCUGUAUAUAUUUGCUCUUUUGACUGUGUAACAUCCAUGGGUAUUGUAACAAUAUGCUGAUUGUACUACUUGUCAGUGCAGGCUGGUCUAGGCCGCAAUUCUGUAGUGUCUCAUCUCCAUUUCGAAGUUAGUCCUGUUUUACUAAUCCAUGCGGAAUAAGAGGAUGUGGACCCAUAUCAGCCAGGCCUGAAAUGAAUUUAUUCAUGAUUUUAAAAUGUCAGGUACAAUGAAGUCAGAUGUAUUUCCAUUUCUAAAUAUAUCCCAGCUACACCAGUGCCUAAAUCCUGCAUGAGUUAUUUGAUUAAAUUUCAGUCAGAGUG